UACGGAGGGUGCAAGCGUUAUCCGGAUUUACUGGGCGUAAAGGGCGCGUAGGCGGCCCGCUAAGUCGAACGUGAAAUCCCCGAGCUCAACUCGGGAACUGCGUCCGAUACUGGUGGGCUUGAAUCCGGGAGAGGGAUGCGGAAUUCCAGGUGUAGCGGUGAAAUGCGUAGAUAUCUGGAGGAAUACCGGUGGCGAAGGCGGCAUCCUGGACCGGAUUGACGCUGAGGCGCGAAAGCCAGGGGAGCAAACGGG
rnacentral:rRNA from 1 species